UUUAUUUCUGGGAUAGAGGAAUCUCAUGACAAAGACCUUACAAAACAACUAAUUGGACUACUUCAUAAUAUGGAGUAAUAUCACACAAACCAAAGCAUAGACCAUCCCUCCCAACACUGCUACUCCCAAUCCACAUCGAGCCUGAUGAAGUGAAGACACAGUGGUCCAGUACUGGCUAAAGGUAUCAAAACGUUCUACGCAGCUGAGGGCUCUGCUAUCACUCCAACGGCCCCCCUGCAACCGAGUAUAUCCACCUAAACAAAGGAAGGAAAGGAAGUAAACAGCAAAUCCCUUACCACUAAAUAUGUAAUGAUAGUAUAUCUUAACAUUUCUAUCAUCCCUCAUGACCUUCUAAGACAUUAUGAAUAGCUUGAAAUUUUAUUUUUCAUAUGAAUUCAAAAUUUAAACUUUCAUUUUAUUUUAUUUUUUUGGUACCGGAGAUUGAACUCGGGUCCUUGCACUUGCGCCACCUGCUCUGCAAGCACAAGGACCUGAGUUCGAUCCCUGGUACCAAAAAAAAAAAAAAAAUUUAAACUUUUAAAGCAAUGUUUCAUCAGCCAUUUGAUAACUGUUUAAUCUAAGAACCCAAUUAAUUUAAAUCACAGAA